UGGCGACCGGCGCACGGGUGAGUAACACGUAUCCAACCUGCCGUCUACUCUUGGACAGCCUUCUGAAAGGAAGAUUAAUACAAGAUGGCAUCAUGAGUUCACAUGUUCACAUGAUUAAAGGUAUUCCGGUAGACGAUGGGGAUGCGUUCCAUUAGAUAGUAGGCGGGGUAACGGCCCACCUAGUCUUCGAUGGAUAGGGGUUCUGAGAGGAAGGUCCCCCACAUUGGAACUGAGACACGGUCCAAACUCCUACGGGAGGCAGCAGUGAGGAAUAUUGGUCAAUGGGCGCAGGCCUGAACCAGCCAAGUAGCGUGAAGGAUGACCGCCCUAUGGGUUGUAAACUUCUUUUAUAAAGGAAUAAAGUCGGGUAUGUAUACCCGUUUGCAUGUACUUUAUGAAUAAGGAUCGGCUAACUCCGUGCCAGCAGCCGCGGUAAUACGGAGGAUCCGAGCGUUAUCCGGAUUUAUUGGGUUUAAAGGGAGCGUAGAUGGAUGUUUAAGUCAGUUGUGAAAGUUUGCGGCUCAACCGUAAAAUUGCAGUUGAUACUGGAUAUCUUGAGUGCAGUUGAGGCAGGCGGAAUUCGUGGUGUAGCGGUGAAAUGCUUAGAUAUCACGAAGAACUCCGAUUGCGAAGGCAGC
rnacentral:rRNA from 1 species